rnacentral:misc_RNA from 1 species
GUGAAUCAUCGAAUUUUUGAACGCAUAUUGCACUCUCUGGUAUUCCGGAGAGUAUGCCUUGUUGAGGGUAAUUAAAAAGAAUGUUUAACCAGUUUUUUUUGGUCAAGGGAAAUGAGUGCUCCGCGUGUAUAGCGGUAGCUUGAAAUAAAUGGUCAAGUCUCAGUUUAGUCUAGACGCGUAAUAAUAUUAUUUCACGAAAUCUUCAUUAUGUUACUAUCAAUUUUUUAUGCAUACAA